AUUCCCAUCUCUCUAAGAUCAUUUUUUCACUGACCCUGUGAGGUGGGGGGUGAGCCCUAAGGAUCUUGCUUCUGGAGCAACCCAUUGUGGGGACAGUGGCAGGUGGGGAGUUUGGGGUGGUAUACCUGUCAAAGGUAAUGCAGGUGUCCUAAGGUGAGCUCUGGGAGGACAGAAAGCUCCCAUGGAGCAGAAGGACAAAAGCUCACUUGAUCUUGAUUUUCAGUAUGUAAUAGUUAAAACCUCUCCCUUUUCCAGACUGCUGGCAUCAGCUAAUCUGUUCUUCUUCCAAAUACAUUGGUU
rnacentral:ncRNA from 1 species